rnacentral:rRNA from 1 species
GACGUAGGGCGCGAGCGUUGUCCGGAUUUAUUGGGCGUAAAGAGCUCGUAGGCGGCUUGUCGCGUCGGCUGUGAAAACUCGGGGCUCAACCCCGAGCCUGCAGUCGAUACGGGCAGGCUGGAGUCCGGCAGGGGAGACUGGAAUUCCUGGUGUAGCGGUGAAAUGCGCAGAUAUCAGGAGGAACACCGGUGGCGAAGGCGGGUCUCUGGGCCGGAACUGACGCUAAGGAGCGAAAGCGUGGGGAGCGAACAGG